CAGCACCUCAAGUGGUCAGGAUGAUUAUUGGGCCUAAAGCAUCCGUAGCCGGCGCUGUAAGUUUUCGGUUAAAUCUGUACGCUCAACGUACAGGCUGCCGGGAAUACUGCAGCGCUAGGGAGUGGGAGAGGUAGACGGUACUCGGUAGGAAGGGGUAAAAUCCUUUGAUCUAUUGAUGACCACCUGUGGCGAAGGCGGUCUACCAGAACACGUUCGACGGUGAGGGAUGAAAGCUGGGGGAGCAAACCGGAUUAGAGACCCGAGUAGUCC
rnacentral:rRNA from 1 species